rfam:Schistosoma rodhaini strain Burundi genome assembly, scaffold: SROB_scaffold0006343
AUCCAGCUGACGAGUCCCAAAUGGGACGAAACUCAAGUCCUAGAU